CCACCCCCAAAACCACCAACCUCUCAUCUUCUAAGUGACUCCAUCACCACCGGCCACCGGGACCUGCGGCUUCAUUGCUCCAGCCCGCCCCACUCGACCGUCAGACUCGCUCAUCGAACUCUUUUUGAUUAACCCUUUCUGUGUUCAUCCCACGGAAAACUGUGUGUCCGGCGGGGGGAUAGGGGGGAGGCGAGGGGCAAUGGCUACCUUUCCUCCAUCUCCUCCCACUGCCCUUGCCACCCCACCCGCACCCCAUCCCAUGCCCCACCCCCAUCCCUCACCCCUAGGGUCCUCCCCAGCCUGGGGAUAGAGACCCUUUAUAAAUACUAUGCUGUUUGGCUUCGUCCCUUUCAAAGGCAGGGUCGGGGCGCGGCUGCCUCCGAAUGGAGAGCUUACUCUGGCCCCACCGCUUUCUGUGGCCCCCUCCACUCCCCACCCCUUCAUUGUAAAUAGUCACUUUUGUACUGGUUUGAGCCAGGGGACGUGGGGAGUCAUUUUUUUUUCCUUUGUGUUGGCAUCUCAGGCCACUGGAGGCAUGGCCCACAUCCCAGUUUGAUUUGGGAGAAUCCCAAGAUGUGUCCCCUCACCUGCCCCCAGUGCUGAGGAUUUCAAUAUAUCAGUAUUAACUCCUAAAGGGAUGGGGUGCACAGAUCCCCUGGCAGGGAGGUGGGAGAGGUGUGGAAAGGAUGACUCAGUUUUCCCCAUCUAUGAAGUGGGCUCAUCCUCCAAGUUCAGUAAGGAGCCUGCAUGAAAUACUGGUGGAGUCAGAGGAGUUAGAAUCUCUUUCCCCUUUCUCUGGGACAGAUAGGGGAGGAGAAGACUGGGGAUGGGGAUAGGACUAUCUUUGGAGAGCUGAUUGCUAAAUCCUUGUUAGGACCUCAAGCUAGCUUCUCCCAGGCUUGUUCCCUGUCUUGGAAAGUGGGGGGAAUUGGAGGACCUCUAAGGCUCCUGGGAUAACCCCAAUCCUUAGAUUCAAAGCCUGAAGCCCAGGGUUGGUCCCCUGCCUGCUGCCCAAUUCCCACAUUCCGCUUCUUGGGCCCAGACCAUCUGCCAUGUGGCCACGCCUCCAGUGCCUCCAUUCAACCCCUUCUAACUGAUUCCUUCCAUCCUCUGCGACCAGAGACGCCGCCCACCCCACCACCCACCACCCACCUUCAGAAGCUCCUGGCUGGAGCCCACUGCCCUCCCUCUCUCCUCCCCCCAUUGCCAUGCCUGGGCCAUGCCCACCCCCCACCUCCCC
ensembl:lncRNA